AUGCCAAGUCACUUUAAUGUAUUUGCACCAAAAAAUGAUAAACAUUUAUGCUGAUGUCGUCCAAAACCACACUUUGCCAGGGGUGUUUCCAAACUUUUGGAGGGCAGUGUACAUUCUGGGUUUGACUUGCCUACGAUUUUGAGAGCAACACCCAGUUCAUGCAAUAAAUGUGCAUGCAUUUUAUGGGUUUUUUUAGUCGUCUAAUCUUGGCUGUAGUCAUUGAUCAUUUUGGCCCACAGUCCACCCAAAGCCCUCUGUGCAGGAAAACAGUCUGUGGUGGGAGACGGAAAACACAUGACAUGGUAGUGCCACUAAUUAACGUCAUUUCAUCAAUCCAUGACCACCAAAAGCUAUUCAGAUUCCAUAUUGGCUUUCCGGUUUUGCCUGGCUGUGCUUCUGUCUGCGAUGCCCAUCACUACAUUUCCAACAACAGCCUACAUAUCUACAAAACACACAGCUGAUUGGGUUAUGGUAGGAACGGACCAGCCCUCUCUUAAAAAAUUGAGGCAGACCUCCAAGCUGUGGUUGGAGCCAUUCUGCCAGAAUAUUGAGCCGUUUGGAUGCAAGUGUGCCAAACACAUUUAAAGACAUUCCCCAGAGCAAUAACACCAUAUAAUCAAGGCAGGGUUGGGAUGACUCCUGCGAAGAAGCCAUUCUUAAAGCUUGUCGAGAAAGCCAUUGAGGUAAAAAAAAAAAAAAAAAAAGUAGAAAUUUAGAGAAAUGGAUUUAUGUUUUUCAAGUGGUUACUUGAAAUGUCAUGAAAGCCAAAGAAAUGUUCAUAAUCUUAAGUGUGUUUGUAGUACAAAAGUUACACUGUUAAUCUGUCUAGUAAUGAUACCCAUUUUUGUGGAGUUGUGCCUUUAGAAAAAAAAAAAAAAAACAUUAUGUGCCUGUUAAGUGAAAUGUUAACAAUGGCAUUUUAAGUUUGAUUCAGUAAAUUGUCUGUGGGUGUGUAUACAGCCUCUGAAGGAAGUGGUCACAUGUGAGGAUCUUCAGUUGCAGACAUUGCUAUUCUCUGGCACUGAAAGGCGAUCCACCGCAGCUCAGGCAGCAGCUCUCAUCAACAUUCCCAAGCACAAGUCUAGUCAAGAGAUUAAAUCUGAAUUCUUAUGCAGCAAAAUGCUUCUGUACAGGGGCUUUCCUAUGAGCUGUGGCCAAAAAAUGUCAUUGCAAAUAGAUCAAACUGACCACAACUACUUUUGAAUAAAAUUGCUGCUCUGUUUGCCUUCUCCCUGUAUCCUCAUCACACAGCUCUCUGUGCUCAUAUCUGUUUUGCCACUCAUUUCCCACUGUCCUAAGGUUUCAUAAAGGAGCAGAUGAUGACUGGAGAGCUGUACACUUUUACAGUAGUGACUGCACCCCCUGGUGGAAACAUCAGGCACUGCAAGUACUGCCCCACCUAUAACAGGACCUAUCACAGGUUCUGACAAAACAUGUCCCAUUAAUUAGUUAAACUAAAUCAGAAUAAAUGACAGAUGAAUUACAUGAUGGUUGAUGCACAGAUUUAAUUGCAUAUCUAGAAAUGCAAGAGGGCAGAUGCUGAGUGCUAGAAGCACAGAAUUUCCUGUAGAAAUACUGUAGAAACCUUGGGACUAUUCUGACCUUGUUCUGGCUGGGUUCUGGAGGAUGGAACUUCACCAGAUCCAGAACUAGUUGAGCCCUCAUUACAGGGUUAUAAUGCACAUACACAUGAAUGUUGUUGCAGCCAACAUCUUCAACACAGUGUUUUGGAACAUGUACAGUAAGUAACAAAAGUGCAGCUGUGGUUAAAGGGACUACUAAACCAUCAUAAGCUAGAAAAGUGUCUGAAACUGUAACCUGAUUAAUUUAUAAAUAUAUUCAAUUGAAUAGUUUCUUGCUAAUGAGUGUAAAUAUAUUUCACCAGUCUUCCUUUUAAAUGACAAAAAAAAAAACAAAAAAAAACCAAAAAACAAUACAUCCAUCAUAAUAAAUACAAAUGUAUUUAGAACAUUAUUUAGAAAUUGUAGACACUUUCUACAUUGUGAUUUACAUCUUUUUAUAUUCUAAUCAUAAUUUAGUUGGGAAUAACCAGCAUCUCACACAAAAGUCAUAAAUAUCUUCCCUCAUUUCAAUUCAGGUUUACUUUUAGGACAGCAGUUCCCCACAUGUGACCCCAGUCUGGCUUCCAUGGGAGAUCUGCAUAAACUUGUCAAAGCCAGGCACAAAAGAAUUUCAUUCCAUGGAUAUUCAGGGCUUAUUUUCCCCAUGUUUCCCAGCAUAUAACCUCUUCCCAUUUCUUCCUUCAGGCUGUCUGAGGUGAGCUCUAAACCUAGACAAAAAGUGUGCAGCCCUGUAGGCUAUUACCUUAUUUCCCAGGAACAUUCAAUGGUGCACCACCACACUUUGUCCCCAACCAUCUAAACCUGGUCUCCCUGGGAUUGCUAUUAAACGAGAUACAGCUGAAACAAACAUUGGGCACCUGCCGCAACAGGCUAGAUGGGACGGGUGGUAAAAACUAAGUCUUUGCAUUCUUGUGGCCAGGAUGACAAUUUCAGCAGCGGCUCAACUAGGCAAGGAAUCCCACCCAACCCUCAGAGACGUAGACCGAGGUCAAACAGAGACUGUGUUUAGAUUUCACAUAUGCUACACUGCACUGGGGAAAUUGGGUAUGCAACAAUGACCCUCUAUUUGAGUAAAUCAGAGCCCAGAAGAUGCGGCAUGUGCUUCAUGGAAGUGAAAGGUUGGAGAGAUAGGGAUCUGUUGGGCUGGUUCCAGCUCACUCUUGGGUACACCUGGAAGGAGCCCUUAACAUGCUUGACAUGACAGCCCUUGAAUGCUGCAACAAUAUGGACCUUUUCAAUCACAAGGAUCACAGUAGCAACAACAGGUGGGCUACUGGAAUCUUUUGCCAAGUUUCUGUUUGCUAAGCAUGUUCUGUUCUGCUGGAUCAUGACACAGGUAAAGAACAAGGGUGUAAUGGCAUUAUUGAGGAUCUACCCAAGCAACCACGAGGCAAUGACGUCUGCUUUGUUGACACCAGAUGAUAGGGCAUUCAACCUCACAAAUUAAAGAACUGGAUUUAAAAAC